GAUGAAGAACGUAGUGAAAUGCGAUAAGUAAUGUGAAUUGCAGAAUUCAGUGAAUCAUCGAAUCUUUGAACGCACAUUGCGCCCGCUAGUAUUCUGGCGGGCAUGCCUGUCCGAGCGUCAUUUCAACCCUCAAGCCCCCGGGCUUGGUGUUGGGGAUCGGCGAGCCUCCGCGCCCGCCGUCCCCUAAAUCUAGUGGCGGUCUCGCAGUAGCUUCCUCUGCGUAGUAGCACACCUCGCACUGGGAAACAGCGCGGCCACGCCGUUAAACCCCCAACUUCUGAACGUUUGACCUCGGAUCAGGUAGGAAUACCCGCUGAACUUAAGCAUAUCAAUAAGCGGAGGA
rnacentral:misc_RNA from 1 species